AUGUCAAUGAAAAGACUUCUUAUUGUCUUGAAGAGAGAUGAUGACAUAAAAAUCAUGCCCAAUAGGACUAUUCUGAGCCCC